GGGCCGUGGGGAGGGCCCAGUUUACUGGGUCAGACAACCAUGCACCGCGUGGCUGGGGCCCUGUCAACCCCCACGUAAGGCAAUGACCCCCGCCCCAUGGGGCUUGCGGUGGCGGAGCCCUCUCCGGAGGGGGAGGGUGAACCGUCUUAACCGGGGGAACCCGGCCAGGCCCGGAAGGGAGCAACCUAACCCUGGCCGCAAGCGUUCAUGGGUCACCGGGGCAGAGACCUGCGUGGAAGGGCUCUGGCAGGGCUCUCCACGCGGUGUAUGGGGCUACGGUCC
rnacentral:SRP_RNA from 1 species